rnacentral:rRNA from 1 species
UCAGGACGAACGCUGGCGGCGUGCUUAACACAUGCAAGUCGAACGAUGAACCGGCUUCGGUCGGGGAUUAGUGGCGAACGGGUGAGUAACACGUGGGUAAUCUGCCCUGCACUUCGGGACAAGCCCUGGAAACGGGGUCUAAUACCGGAUAUGACCAUCUGAGGCAUCUUGGGUGGUGGAAAGCUCCGGCGGUGCAGGAUGAGCCCGCGGCCUAUCAGCUUGUUGGUGAGGUAGUGGCUUACCAAGGCGACGACGGGUAGCCGGCCUGAGAGGGCGACCGGCCACACUGGGACUGAGACACGGCCCAGACUCCUACGGGAGGCAGCAGUGGGGAAUAUUGCACAAUGGGCGAAAGCCUGAUGCAGCGACGCCGCGUGAGGGAUGACGGCCUUCGGGUUGUAAACCUCUUUCAGCAGGGAAGAAGCGUGAGUGACGGUACCUGCAGAAGAAGCGCCGGCUAACUACGUGCCAGCAGCCGCGGUAAUACGUAGGGCGCAAGCGUUGUCCGGAAUUAUUGGGCGUAAAGAGCUCGUAGGCGGCGUGUCACGUCGGUUGUGAAAGCCCGGGGCUUAACUCCGGGUCUGCAGUCGAUACGGGCAGGCUAGAGUUCGGUAGGGGAGAUCGGAAUUCCUGGUGUAGCGGUGAAAUGCGCAGAUAUCAGGAGGAACACCGGUGGCGAAGGCGGAUCUCUGGGCCGAUAC